rnacentral:rRNA from 1 species
UACGAAGGGGGCGAGCGUUGUUCGGAAUUACUGGGCGUAAAGGGCGCGCAGGCGGCCUUAGAAGUCAGAUGUGAAAGCCCCGGGCUCAACCUGGGAAUGGCAUUUGAUACUCUGAGGCUGGAGUACGGGAGAGGAGAGUGGAAUUCCCAGUGUAGAGGUGAAAUUCGUAGAUAUUGGGAAGAACACCGGUGGCGAAGGCGGGUCUCUGGACCGUAACUGACGCUGAGGCGCGAAAGCGUGGGGAGCAAACAGG